UGGGUUGUGGCUCAGUGGAAAGAGCACUUGUCUAGCAUGUGCGAGGCCCUGGGUUUGAUUCUCAGCAUCACAU
rnacentral:tRNA from 1 species